rnacentral:lncRNA from 1 species
AGGAAAUAGAAUCCUUAAAUGAUCCUAUAUCAAAAAAAGAAAUUGAACAAACAAUGAACUCCCUAAGAAAAAAAUCCCCAGGGCUAGAUGGAUUCACAAGUGAAUUUUAUCAAACAUUUAAAGAACAAUUAAUCCUAAUACUACAUGAAUUAUUAGGGGAACGAGGCAGAGAAGGAAUCCUACCAAAUUCUUUUAAUUAAAUGAAUAUCCAAGCCAGGAAGUACAAGAACAGAGAAAGAAAAUUAUAGGUCAAUUUCAUUAAUGAAUAUAGAUGCAAAAAUUUUAAAUAAGAUACUAAGAAGUAGAAUACAGCAAUAUAUCUCAAGGAUCAUUCAUUACGACCAGGUAGGAUUUAUACCAGGAAUGCAUUUGGUUUAAUGGUUUAAUAUUAGGAAAAAUAUCAACCUAAUUGACCACUUCAAUAACCAGACUAACAGAAAUCACAUGAUUAUCUCAGUAGAUUCAGAAAAAGCCUUUGACAAAAUACGACACCCGUUCCUAUUAAAGACACUAGAAAGCAUGGAAAUAAAUGGGUUAUUCCUUAAAAUGCUCCCUACCUGUUGGAGCCAAAAUGGUAUCCUUGCCUGCUCUUCAUCUUGUCUAAAAUCAGAAAGACUUAAGGGUUGUAUGCUGUCACUCGACAACUUGUUUUCCAUUGGGUAUAGCGAUCUCUGUGUAAAACUCUUUUCUUUAAAUUAAAUUAAAAUUCUCUAAAAAGAAUUUUUAUGGCACUCAAAAUAGAUCUUUGUUUUCCACUUAUUGUUUGACAUUGAGUAUAUAUAUUUCACUUAAUGCCUCAAGUUUUAUAUCUUAUACCUUUAGUCUUUCUGUAGUAGAAGUAUUUUAAAGUCAGUGAACGAAAGUUCUACAUUUAUUUUUUAAAAAUCUAUGUUUCAAGCUCUUUAUCCUUAGGUAAAUGUGAGAAGUAUUGUAUUUUUCCAGCAAUGAUAGCAAAUCAUAGCCAGACCUACCACAUGGCAUUUAUUCAUCACAGCUGGGUUUUCCUUGAUUACUACGUUAAUCGCCCAGUGAAUGAGUAAAGGUCAUUUCAUUUCAAUCACAUUUAUUAAUCACUCACAUUUUAUACUCAUUAACAUUUUCCCUAUUUACAUCAAGCUGGUCUCCUAAGUGAUUCUAUCAGGGCUAUUAAGAUGUUAAUGUCAAAUCUGGCUACAUUAACUGGAGUACUCACUGAAGGUGUCAGAAGGAAGUACAACAUUUUCUUCUAAAUUAUAUUUGUUUUCAUUUGGUGAUUAUUAAAUAUCAAGGUCAAGAACAACA